AUUUUCAGAUAUGCUGUGGACUCCUCGGCUCCUGCAUUGUACACACUGUGCGGAAAACAUGGACAUGCACAGCGCAUACAAUGUGGAUGCUGUGGAGCCCAGACACUUCUGUUGCAGAG
rnacentral:precursor_RNA from 8 species